AUCCAGCUGACGAGUGUCAAAUGAGACGAAACGCGUGUCCUGGAU
rfam:Schistosoma haematobium scaffold147_37, whole genome shotgun sequence.